rnacentral:rRNA from 1 species
CCUACGGGAGGCAGCAGUGGGGAAUUUUGGACAAUGGGCGCAAGCCUGAUCCAGCCAUUCCGCGUGAGUGAAGAAGGCCUUCGGGUUGUAAAGCUCUUUCGCGAGGGAAGAAAACUUACCAUCGAAUAAAUGGUGAGGCUGACGGUACCUUGAUAAGAAGCACCGGCUAACUACGUGCCAGCAGCCGCGGUAAUACGUAGGGUGCGAGCGUUAAUCGGAAUUACUGGGCGUAAAGCGUGCGCAGGCGGUUUUGUAAGUCAGAUGUGAAAUCCCCGAGCUCAACUUGGGAACUGCGUUUGAAACUACAAGACUAGAAUAUGUCAGAGGGGGGUAGAAUUCCACGUGUAGCAGUGAAAUGCGUAGAGAUGUGGAGGAAUACCAAUGGCGAAGGCAGCCCCCUGGGAUAAUAUUGACGCUCAUGCACGAAAGCGUGGGGAGCAAACAGGAUUAGAUACCCUGGUAGUCCACGCCCUAAACGAUGUCUACUAGUUGUUGGUGGAGUAAAAUCCAUGAGUAACCGNAGCGACGCGNGAGUAGACGCCGNGGGAGGUAACGGUCGCGAGAGUAAACGUUAACGAAUAGAGUUAGAGGCGNGAGAGNGCGAGGACGACGACGAGGGAGGAGG